rnacentral:rRNA from 1 species
AUUGAACGCUGGCGGCAGGCCUAACACAUGCAAGUCGAGCGGAUGAAGGGAGCUUGCUCCUGGAUUCAGCGGCGGACGGGUGAGUAAUGCCUAGGAAUCUGCCUGGUAGUGGGGGAUAACGUCCGGAAACGGGCGCUAAUACCGCAUACGUCCUGAGGGAGAAAGUGGGGGAUCUUCGGACCUCACGCUAUCAGAUGAGCCUAGGUCGGAUUAGCUAGUUGGUGGGGUAAAGGCCUACCAAGGCGACGAUCCGUAACUGGUCUGAGAGGAUGAUCAGUCACACUGGAACUGAGACACGGUCCAGACUCCUACGGGAGGCAGCAGUGGGGAAUAUUGGACCAUGGGCGGAAGCCUGAUCCAGCCAUGCCGCGUGUGGGAAGAAGGUCUUCGGAUUGUAAAGCACUUUAAGUUGGGAGGAAGGGCAGUAAGUUAAUACCGUGCUGUUUUGACGGUACCAACAGAAUAAGCACCGGCUAACUUCGUG